rnacentral:rRNA from 1 species
UACGUAGGGGGCAAGCGUUGUCCGGAAUCAUUGGGCGUAAAGGGUGUGUAGGUGGCGCCGUAAGUCGGGUGUGAAAUUUCGGAGCUUAACUCCGAAACUGCAUUCGAUACUGCCGUGCUUGAGGACUGGAGAGGAGACUGGAAUUUACGGUGUAGCGGUGAAAUGCGUAGAUAUCGUAAGGAAGACCAGUGGCGAAGGCGGGUCUCUGGACAGUUCCUGACGCUGAGGCACGAAGGUCAGGGGAGCAAACGGG